rnacentral:rRNA from 1 species
UGGGGAAUAUUGGUCAUUGGGGGAAACCCUGUAACCAGCAAUGCCGCGUGAAGGAAGAAGGCUCUCGGGUUGUAAACUUCUUUGACAGGGGACGAAAUAUGACGGUACCCUGAAAACAAGCCACGGCUAACUACGUG